rnacentral:rRNA from 1 species
AUUGAACGCUAGCGGGAUGCUUUACACAUGCAAGUCGAACGGCAGCGCGGACUUCGGUCUGGCGGCGAGUGGCGAACGGGUGAGUAAUGUAUCGGAACGUGCCCAGUAGCGGGGGAUAACUACGCGAAAGCGUAGCUAAUACCGCAUACGCCCUACGGGGGAAAGCAGGGGAUCGUAAGACCUUGCACUAUUGGAGCGGCCGAUAUCGGAUUAGCUAGUUGGUGAGGUAACGGCUUACCAAGGCGACGAUCCGUAGCUGGUUUGAGAGGACGACCAGCCACACUGGGACUGAGACACGGCCCAGACACCUACGGGAGGCAGCAGUGGGGAAUUUUGGACAAUGGGGGCAACCCUGAUCCAGCCAUCCCGCGUGUGCGAUGAAGGCCUUCGGGUUGUAAAGCACUUUUGGCAGGAAAGAAACGUCGCGGGCUAAUACCCCGUGGAACUGACGGUACCUGCAGAAUAAGCACCGGCUAACUACGUG